AAUAAGUUCAGUUUUACCCUAUUCAUAUUCAACGUUUAACCGUUCGUCUUAUUUAAAAUUUUUUUAUGAUUAGUAUUUUUAUUACUAUUAGAUGAUAAAGUAUAAAUAAUAUUUUAUGUGUGACUAAAUAUUUUUAAUUUUUUCAUAAAUUUUUCAAAUAAAACGAACGGUCAAACGUUGGGCACGAAUAUCCACGGCUGCACUUACU
rfam:Oryza glumipatula chromosome 1, whole genome shotgun sequence.